UAAAAAUAGUAAUUUUUACUUUUGCGGACAAUUACAUUUUUGGGACAUUUCUGACACGGACAAAAUUCCCCCAAGCACUUCCCAAUUGUUUGUGCAGUUCACGUCUGCAGACAUUUGCUCAUCUCCCGUCAGAACAUGAUCUGCACACGUGUUCACAUUUUCUAUCUGUUGCCCUCAUUGCAGUCAUUGUUUUCGUUAAUAAUAAUAACUUUGGAAAUGUGUGCGUUUCUAUCAAAAAACCACAAACAUUAUUUGCCAAUAUCAUAACUGGAGCUGGACAUCUUUGGAGCAGAAGAAUGAGGACAGCUUUUGUAUGCUAACGUACACUCCUUAACAGUCUUACUGGAUGAAAAGACAGCAAGAAAACACAUAUGCCAAUAUGUAAUAGUCGUCUAUUUUAUUGCAGUAUUGGUAGUUGGUUCAACAACUUGUUAUACUAGAGGACAAAAAACUGAAAAUGCAUAACACAUAUUUAAUAUUCAUGCAGUGACUGAACAACAACUGCAUUUCCCCCCCCCCCCCCCCCCCCACCUCUGAAGGCAUAGUAUCAUGGCAGUCAGUCACUUAUUGCUGCAGAUGUGCUCAAUAAUGCUUGAGCAUGUGAUACUCCUCAAAGCAUGGUGAAAUACAUAGAGGUGUAUCACAAGCUAAACACAUGUAUUUUGUCAUCUUCCUCUGCUUACUUCUCCUGGUGCCAGACAGGCAGACUUUGCAGUGCCUCCUUGUGCGACUACCUUGAGCAGCAGUUUGAGGGACUUUGCAGGGAAAAUGCCGUGCAGUAAGGCGUAGGGGAUUGUUUACAGCAGGACGACCCCCAGUGGAUGGGCGCCGAGGGGUGUGGUGCUCCUCCAGCAGCUCUCUCAUUAGGUUCUCUCUGUAUUUUUGUCAGGUGAUCCACCUUCCCUGUGGCCGACAUGGUUGCUGUAUGGACAGUG